rnacentral:misc_RNA from 1 species
AUACUCCAAACCGACCACCUUACUGUCGGUCCAACAAAGCUGACCGAAAACUCACCCACUCCAAAGAUUUUUAAUUGAUCAGUAAACGAAGCUCCUAA